rnacentral:rRNA from 1 species
AGCCGCCGCGGGAACACCGGCGGCCCGAGUGGUGAUCGUGAUUAUUGGGUCUAAAGGGUCCGUAGCCGGUUUGGUCAGUCCUCCGGGAAAUCUGAUAGCUCAACUAUUAGGCUUUCGGGGGAUACUGCCAGACUUGGAACCGGGAGAGGUAAGAGGUACUACAGGGGUAGGAGUGAAAUCUUGUAAUCCCUGUGGGACCACCUGUGGCGAAGGCGUCUUACCAGAACGGGUUCGACGGUGAGGGACGAAAGCUGGGGGCACGAACCGGAUUAGAUACCCGGGUAGUCCCAGCCGUAAACGAUGCUCGCUAGGUGUCAGGCAUGGCGCGACCGUGUCUGGUGCCGCAGGGAAGCCGUGAAGCGAGCCACCUGGGAAGUACGGCCGCAAGGCUGAAACUUAAAGGAAUUGGCGGGGGAGCACAACAACGGGUGGAAGCCUGCGGUUUAAUUGGACUCAACGCCGGACAACUCACCGGGGGCGACAGCAAUAUGUAGGCCAAGCUGAAGACUUUGCCUGAAUCGCUGAGGGGAGGUGCAUGG